rnacentral:rRNA from 1 species
GUGUCAGCCGCCGCGGUAAUACGAAGGGGGCUAGCGUUGCUCGGAAUCACUGGGCGUAAAGGGCGCGUAGGCGGACUUUUAAGUCGGGGGUGAAAGCCCAGGGCUCAACCCUGGAAUUGCCUUCGAUACUGGGAGUCUUGAGUUCGGAAGAGGUUGGUGGAACUGCGAGUGUAGAGGUGAAAUUCGUAGAUAUUCGCAAGAACACCGGUGGCGAAGGCGGCCAACUGGUCCGAAACUGACGCUGAGGCGCGAAAGCGUGGGGAGCAAACAGGAUUAGAUACCCUUGUAGUCC